AUUGAACGCUGGCGGCCGGCCUAACACAUGCAAGUCGAACGAGUGGCGGACGGGUGCGUAAUGUCUGGGAACCUGCCUGAUGGAGGGGGAUAACUCCUGGAAACGGUAGCUAAUACCGCAUACCAUCGGAUGUGCCCAGAUGGGAUUAGCUAGUAGGUGGGGUAACGGCUCCCCUGGGCGACGAUCCCUAGCUGGUCGGAGAGGAUGACCAGCCACACGGUAACUGAGACACGGUCCAGACGCCUACGGGAGGCAGCAGUGGGGAAUAUUGCACAAUGGGCGAAAGCCUGAUGCAGCCAAGCCGCGUGUAUGAAGAAGGCCUGCGGGUUGUAAAGGACUUUAGGAGGGGAGGCGUUACCCGCAGAGGAAGCACCGGCUAACUCCGUGCCAGAAGCCGCGGUAAUAC
rnacentral:rRNA from 1 species